AUUGAACGCUGGCGGCAGGCCUAACACAUGCAAGUCGAGCGGAUGAAGGGAGCUUGCUCCUGGAUUCAGCGGCGGACGGGUGAGUAAUGCCUAGGAAUCUGCCUGGUAGUGGUGGAUAACGUCCGUAAACGGGCGCUAAUACCGCAUACGUCCUUAGUGCGAAAGUGGGGGAUCUUCGGACCUCACGCUAUCAGAUGAGCCUAGGUCGGAUUAGCUAGUUGGUGGGGUAAAGGCCUACCAAGGCGACGAUCCGUAACUGGUCUGAGAGGAUGAUCAGGCACACUGGAACGGAGACACGGUCCAGACUCCUACGGGAGGCAGCAGUGGGGAAUAUUGGACAAUGGGCGAAAGCCUGAUGCAGCCAUGCCGCGUGAGUGAAGAAGGUCUUCGGAUUGUAAAGCACUUUAAGUUGGGAGGAAGGGCAGUAAGUUAAGACCUGGCUGUUUUGACGUUACCAAAAGAAUAAGCACCGGCUAACUUCGUG
rnacentral:rRNA from 1 species